UCCCUGGUGGUUUAGUGGUUAGGACUUGGUGCUUUCACUGCUGCAGCCCAGGUUCAGUCCCUGGUCUAGGAA
rfam:Sus scrofa chromosome 17.